rnacentral:rRNA from 1 species
ACUCAAAUGAAUAGACGGGGACCCGCACAAGCGGUGGAGCAUGUGGUUUAAUUCGAGGCAACGCGAAGAACCUUACCAGGCCUUGACAUGGUUAGUAUGGGGUGCAGAAACGUACCCCUUCAGUUUGGCUGGCUAACACACAGGUGUUGCAUGGCUGUCGUCAGCUCGUGUCGUGAGAUGUUGGGUUAAGUCCCGCAACGAGCGCAACCCUCACCCUCUGUUGCUAACAGGUAAUGCUGAGAACUCUGAGGGAACUGCCGGUGAUAAGCCGGAGGAAGGCGGGGAUGACGUCAAGUCAUCAUGGCCCUUACGGCCUGGGCUACACACGUGCUACAAUGGCGGUGACAGAGCGCAGCUACUCCGCGAGGGGAAGCUAAUCGCAAAAAACCGUCUCAGUUCGGAUUGUUCUCUGCAACUCGAGAGCAUGAAGCUGGAAUCGCUAGUAAUCGCAAAUCAGCAGGUUGCGGUGAAUACGUUCCCGGGUCUUGUACACACCGCCCGU